rnacentral:rRNA from 1 species
UCGAACGGGGUUGCGGCGCUUGCUCUGUGGGAUCGGUGGCGAACGGGUGAGUAACACGUGAGCAACCUGCCCCUGACUCUGGGAUAAGCGCUGGAAACGGCGUCUAAUACUGGCCCUGGGUCGUGUCUUAAUGGUCUGCGUUUGGAAAGAUUUUUCGGUUGGGGAUGGGCUCGCGGCCUAUCAGCUUGUUGGUGAGGUAAUGGCUCACCAAGGCGUCGACGGGUAGCCGGCCUGAGAGGGUGACCGGCCACACUGGGACUGAGACACGGCCCAGACUCCUACGGGAGGCAGCAGUGGGGAAUAUUGCACAAUGGGCGGAAGCCUGAUGCAGCAACGCCGCGUGAGGGAUGACGGCCUUCGGGUUGUAAACCUCUUUUAGCAGGGAAGAAGCGAAAGUGACGGUACCUGCAGAAAAAGCGCCGGCUAACUACGUGCCAGCAGCCGCGGUAAUACGUAGGGCGCAAGCGUUAUCCGGAAUUAUUGGGCGUAAAGAGCUCGUAGGCGGUUUGUCGCGUCUGCUGUGAAAUCCCGAGGCUCAACCUCGGGCCUGCAGUGGGUACGGGCAGACUAGAGUGCGGUAGGGGAGAUUGGAAUUCCUGGUGUAGCGGUGGAAUGCGCAGAUAUCAGGAGGAACACCGAUGGCGAAGGCAGAUCUCUGGGCCGUAACUGACGCUGAGGAGCGAAAGGGUGGGGAGCAAACAGGCUUAGAUACCCUGGUAGUCCACCCCGUAAACGUUGGGAACUAGUUGUGGGGUCCAUUCCACGGAUUCCGUGACGCAGCUAACGCAUUAAGUUCCCCGCCUGGGGAGUACGGCCGCAAGGCUAAAACUCAAAGGAAUUGACGGGGACCCGCACAAGCGGCGGAGCAUGCGGAUUAAUUCGAUGCAACGCGAAGAACCUUACCAAGGCUUGACAUAUACGAGAACGGGCCAGAAAUGGUCAACUCUUUGGACACUCGUAAACAGGUGGUGCAUGGUUGUCGUCAGCUCGUGUCGUGAGAUGUUGGGUUAAGUCCCGCAACGAGCGCAACCCUCGUUCUAUGUUGCCAGCACGUAAUGGUGGGAACUCAUGGGAUACUGCCGGGGUCAACUCGGAGGAAGGUGGGGAUGACGUCAAAUCAUCAUGCCCCUUAUGUCUUGGGCUUCACGCAUGCUACAAUGGCCGGUACAAAGGGCUGCAAUACCGUGAGGUGGAGCGAAUCCCAAAAAGCCGGUCCCAGUUCGGAUUGAGGUCUGCAACUCGACCUCAUGAAGUCGGAGUCGCUAGUAAUCGCAGAUCAGCAACGCUGCGGUGAAUACGUUCCCGGGUCUUGUACACACCGCCCGUCAAGUCAUGAAAGUCGGUAACACCUGAAGCCGGGUCCUAACCCCCGGGA